AUCAUUUCGGUCUUGUGAUUGAAUUUUUUUUCAACAUGUCGAUGAUUAGACCUUAUGGGAAGACAUCUACGAAAUAAAUAACUAACAAAUCGAUACUGCUGUCCUAUUCACCCGUUGUAUCGGUCGCUGACAAAUGGUCAUCUCGCUUUUUGUCAUUGAUACAGGCUGACCACCGAUCAACCGGCCAGACAUGCUGAUGGAUGCUGCUGAUGCUUUCAAAUCCCAGCAAAAUGUCACCCUGGUCCGUUCUGAGCUUUGGUUCCAAUCCUUCCCAGGCUUAUAUGCUGCAUCACAGCACUGACUCAAAGCUCAAGAUUGGCAGUAGUCCAGAGGGACUGAAUUUGGAAACUCCGACAUAGAAACAUGUUGUUCUUCUAUUUCACUUGGAUACACCUGUAAGAAUCCCAUUUGUGGAACAAUAGAGAUGCUGAUUGAGUCUUCUGCCUGAGAAACAGACACCCGUCAAGCAGAAAACAAAAGAAGAAUACGGCCAAGGAACUUCACAAUGUGCUCCAGGUUGCAAAAGUGAUGGAAAUGGGAGAGAAGGCAAGUGCAGACAGCCUGCAUCUCCUGGGAAAGGUGAGAGACUAACGUCUUAAAUGGGACUCUUUUCCAAAUUGUGAGAGUUGGAAAGAGCAGUAAAGAGCCUCAGUACAUUAUCCAACUGCAAAGAUGUCAGAAAGGGGGGAAUCCUUUUGAAUCCCACUGCUGCCACCAAUUUGUAAAGAACUCAGGCAGAGGGGAAUCUUUUUAAAAAUCCCACCUCUGACACCAAUUGCGGAGAUGUGGAGGAGUUCCUAUUAAUUAAUUAUAUUUAUAUUAUAUAUCUGCUGCCACCAAUAUAAAGAUGUUUUUAUUUAAAAGCUGCCACCAGAAGUAAAGAUGUUUAUAAUGCGGCCACCAGAUGUUAAGGGGAUUAUCAACUCUUGCCACCACUAUUGGAAGAUUUAGCCACUGGCUAUUUA